UGUACUUCACUUUAUUGAGUUUAAACAUUACACUAAAUAAGAUAUUUGUUUAAAUAAUAAAGACGAAUACAAUAAUUAAAUUCAACAUCUUUUGAAGAAUUUAUUUAAUUAAACCUAAUAUUUACCCGAAAAAAUUCUCAAAGCCGAUUGAUAUUCAUCUACCACCUGUAAACUGCGACAAAAUAAUACGAUGAUAGAGACAUCAAAACAAUAUAAUAAAAUCUAACAUUUUCUUAAAAAUUUUCUCAAAGACACGUGACACUCAUCUACCACAUGUAAACUAUAACAAAAUAAUACGAUAUUAGAGAUAUCAAAAUAAUUAAUACAACUAAAUUUUACCUUUACACAAAAAAAAAAAUCUCAAAACAUAGAUAUAAAAAUAAUACAAUUAAACCUAACCUUUACCUAAAAAAAAUUCCUCAAAGCCGACCGGCGUUCAUCUACCACCUGUAAAUUCAUUUACGACCUGUAAGCUACAACAAAAUAAUAUAAUAGUG
rnacentral:lncRNA from 1 species